GUGGUCAAUUAUGAAUGACGAUGCAGCCCGCAGGUAAUCAUUUGUGUUAUUUGCCUAUCUUUUCCAGGUUCGUCAUAUCCAUAGCCUAUGUAUUUCAUCGUCCCAUGUGAUUCAAGCUGGGCCAUAUAGUUGUAUGCUAGAUUGGUAUGUACUAUAUACAUCUGGAUGACAGUGAGGAUUAAAGAGUGUCGUUAUUUCCAAUGGAAAAAUGCCUAAAUCUCGCUGUCCACUAAUUCACGGCAAUGAAAUUCUCUAACUCUGCAAAAAUCGCUUUGAUGUUGUACCAGCUGGAGCUUUUUCGUCUUCUGAAUUGAACAGGCAGGAGUUUAGUUUGGUGUUCUCAAAGAGGCCAUAGUUUGAUGUCCUAAAUCUAAUUUGGCCUUUCAAGUUAGAUAUUAUCCAUGUAUAAAUACAGAUUUCCUUGAAUAUGUAUUGUUUUGAUCAACACAAAAUAGCUCUAGCCUCUCGUACAAUUUUCAGUGUCGUGCAUGGGUGGUUUUUGUGCAGUUAUGUUGAUCUGCAUGCAUUUUCUGCAUUAUAGUGUUGAUAUGUCUCAGUAAAAUAGUGAGUACAUAUAACGUAUGCAAGCUACAACCAGUUAGUUUUGUUACUAAUCCAUUGAUCCUUUGUUACAUUCCAAGAGUCAGGGUACCGGCACCCAAAUAAAUUCAGGCCAGUCCUCGAUGUGAAGAAGCUAAGGGAGGCGGAUCCCGACCCUUAUGACAGCCAAAAUUAGGCCGCCACUCGUCUCUCUCCUGCACCUGCUAUUCAGAUGGCCAACAACACUUCGUGAGCAAUGACUGCUGUCCAGUUAAGAGCAAGAAAGAUCUUGCUGUUACUUGUCUUUUCAACAGUUCUUCUGUGUGGAAGGCUCUUUGCUCACACUCAAAUACUACCUCUGAAACAUGGAAGAAGGAAAAGGUUACUCUUCUGAUCUUG